CAUAUACCCGAUCCCUGCGCAUUUUCUUCUUCUUCUACGCUAAUCUGCCAGUCCAGCAGCUCACGUGAACCAGACAGCUGCAGGGUGCGUUUUCUUCUCCCUCACGCGUCAAUAUCCAACAACUCCCACAACUUUCUCUGCAACAGCCGCCCAUCUCGAUUUUUUCAUCCGAAUUUUGGGGGAUUUCGGUUGAAAUUUGAUACAAGCAGCAGCUUUUCCUCCCCUUGAGAAAAAAAAAAAAAAUUCGAAGGAGGUUGAAUCCGGAUUGACGAUUUUGCCCCAAGCUAUUUCAAAAAAUUCACCCGACUCUUUCAAAUCGGGAGCUCUAGUUUUCCCCUCUAUAUAUACUCCCUCUUUCUCCAUUGUUGGGGGGAUUUUUGAUUUUAUUUUAAAAGAGUUAGAAAGGAAGAGAAAGAAAAAGAAGCGAUAGUUAACAAAGAACAGUAGACGAAAAAUAUAAAUAGAUUUUAAAGUGAUAAUUCCCAGGGUUCAGUGUUUAGGGAAGUUCGAGCCCUCACGGAAAUAUUUUGAGGUUGGUGGUGGAAGCAUCUUUAGCUCGUCCUCGUCUCAAGUUCGCUGCCCAGAAAAGGUAAUGUCUUCCUCUUUGUGACGUUCUUUCCACCUCUUCUUCCAUUUCAGAGUGACAUUCUGUUGAUUGAGGCUUGCUUUUAGUUUGGUUGGUGGUUGGUUGUUAGUUGCUAUUAAGUUGAUAUGUUAUGUUACAUAUAUAUAGAGUUAUUUGUUAUACCAAGUUAAAGCUUUGGAUAUUCGUUAUUACUUCUCUAUUGUUGUACUUGAAGUUUUGUCUUGUCGAUAUCUUUCCUUGAGCUUGUUUCUCGAAUGUCAUCGAAUGCGUUUCACUGCUUAAUAUUCGACACCACGGGUUUCACUCUUUCAUCUCAAGUCGAAAGAAUGGGCUAAGAUGUCAAUAUUUAGAGUUUAUGUGUUGUGCUCGCGACUAUUCGAAAUUCGUAUUGUGUUUUCUGUCUGUAUAAAUGGCUUCAUGGGUUGCAAGAUGAUUUUAAGUUCAAAUUAUAUCGCGUACAUGUCGCUGAACCGAUUUGCUUUUGCACACAUUUACUCUGUUUUUAUUGUUGAUACUGCAUGCCCUCUGGAAAGAGCUAUUUUAGUCAAGUGAAAUAUCACAAUUUGGAUAAGUUUCUAAUGUGUCAUUUACGGGAAGAUAUCCUUGUAUUUAAUACGUAUUCAUUUUGAGUGAUUUUGCCUUGGUUUGUUGUUUGAGGCUUCCUGUAGUGGAGUUUUACGAUUAAAAAAAAAAAACUCUUCGUUAUGUUCAGUUUUACGUAACUGUUUGGUUCAUGUCCUAUAUUUUAUCGAAAAAAUACUCUCUUCAGCACAUAGUAACCAUAUAUGCUUUUUACUCCACUGACUACUGAAUAAAAUGUACAUAUUUGGGUUGGGUAAAUUUAUUUUCUCAAACCUGUUGCUAAGUUGAUAAUUUAUGGUUGUUUAUUUAUUUAUUUUUAUUAUUUUUAUGCCACCGUGCAGCGUCAUUUUGGUAUCACUGUUGUUGUAUUGAUCCAUUUUGUUUGUAAUAGCAGUUUGUCCAUAUGCCCAACUUGUUUGUUUUGUUCUAAUUAUUGGGAAGCAUGUUGAAUGUCUAUUAUUUUAUUUUUUAUUUUUAUCUUAGUUUAUUUACUUUACUUUAUUUUAUCUUAUUUUUGCGUGUUUGUCAUCACUCUAAAUUCUACCUUCUUCUCUUGCAUGUGAAAUUCACCCGAAUUUGCUACGAGCUUCUACCUUCUUUCCCUGCAUUUCGGGAGAGCCGUGAAGGCUCAAAUUCCUUCUUAUCCGAGUCUAUCAGCCCAUAAAGUCGACGAACAGGUCCCGAAAUUGAAAGGAGCAACCGAUUGAGAAAAUUUAAAAAAUUUGGGCCAAAGGCUUACUCUUAAUUCAAAAAAAUUUGUAUUUUGUUAUUUUGGGCCUAAGCUUGUUUAAGUUUAUUAUUUUAUUAGUAUUUAGGACAGGUGAAAAAUUGGGCCUAAGGCCCAAAGAAAUGUCUUAUAUAUAUUAGACUAGGACAGGUGCAGAUAACUCAAAUGGGCCAAAGACCCAAAACGAAAAAUGGGUCCAAAUACUGGUCCAGGCGGACAGAAACCAGAUUUGGGCCCAACUCUCUUUCCCUCUCUACUUUACUGUGAUCAUUUUACUUGUUAGUGUUUUGCCGCUAAUUUUAAAGGUUGAACGAUUCAAAUCCCCAAAAGACAUCCAUUUUGAAUUAAUCGCUUAACUAAAUUAUUCCUCUUUUAUUUGACUUAAAAAUAAAUAAAUAAUAAAUAAAUAAGUUUAUGAAAUACUUCAUUUAGAUAAUAUUUCAUUAUUUUUCUAUUAAAAUAGGU
rnacentral:lncRNA from 1 species